rnacentral:rRNA from 1 species
CCUACGGGUGGCAGCAGUGGGGAAUAUUGCACAAUGGGGGAAACCCUGAUGCAGCAACGCCGCGUGAGUGAAGAAGUAUUUCGGUAUGUAAAGCUCUAUUAGUAGGGAAGAAGAUGACGGUACCUGAAUAAGAAGCCCCGGCUAACUACGUGCCAGCAGCCGCGGUAAUACGUAGGGGGCAAGCGUUACCCGGAUUUACUGGGUGUAAAGGGAGCGCAGACGGGAGUGCAAGUCUGAAGUGAAAGCCCAGGGCUCAACCCCGGAACUGCACUUGAAACUGUGCGGCUAGAGUACUGGAGGGGCAGGCGGAAUUCCUGGUGUAGCGGUGAAAUGCGUAGAGAUUAGGAGGAACACCAGUGGCGAAGGCGACCUGCUGGACAGUAACUGACGUUGAGGCUCGAAAGCGUGGGGAGCAAACAGGAUUAGAUACCCCGGUAGUC